GAUGAAGAACGCAGCGAAAUGCGAUAAGUAAUGUGAAUUGCAGAAUUCAGUGAAUCAUCGAAUCUUUGAACGCACAUUGCGCCCGUUAGCAUUCUAGCGGGCAUGCCUGUCCGAGCGUCAUUUCAACCCUCAGGGUCCCCGUUCCGGCGGGGAACCUGGUGUUGGGGAUCGGCCCGCCCCGUGCGGCGCCGUCCCCCAAAUUCAGUGGCGGUCUCGCUGCAGCCUCCCCUGCGUAGUAGUUACAACCUCGCAUCGGAGCUCAGCGCGGCCACGCCGUAAAACCCCCGACUUUCUGAACGUUGACCUCGGAUCAGGUAGGAAUACCCGCUGAACUUAAGCAUAUCAAUAAGCGGAGGA
rnacentral:misc_RNA from 1 species